rfam:Schistosoma mansoni strain Puerto Rico chromosome 3, complete genome
AUCCAGCUGAUGAGUCCCAAAUAGGACGAAACGUGUGUCAAACUGGAU